GCAGCUUCUGGAAAACGGCGCGCCGGCCCCCCGGGGCAGGAAGAAGGGCCAAAGAAGAGGGGGAAGGGGCUAGGACUUCCUGAGCACCAGCCUCCGAAGGCCUGAGGGAAGGGGAUUUCAGUUCUGAGUCGAAAAGUGAAGACCACUUCUGGGCAAAAUUGUAAAGCAGAGGAAGGGAAGAAAAUGGAAGAAGCAAGAAGCAAGGAUUGAGAAGAACUGCCAUGUGCCAGAUCAGCCCCCCUUGAAGUAAGAAAUGUCAUCAGGGUACUAAGAGAUAAAUAAGAAUGGAAACUUCUAGAAGAAAGAAAUCCACUAAGAAUCACAAGAACAGGAAAAUGAACAUCCUUCCAUUAGAAUCGCAGUCCGAAGACGACACUUCAGCAACUGUUACUGCAUUUGGCUUUGACCGGGUCAAAGGAAUUGAGCCCAUCCUCUCCUGCCUGACAAGUACCAUAUUAUCUGAAGCCCCAAAUACCCAGUGCUGAACUUUCCCUAUUUCUACUGAUAAAAUCACCAAGAGGUUAUCGUGUCCAGCAACAGCGAAAUCCCUUGUAAAGGAGAGGAAACAAAAUUUGAAGAAAGAAAUGUAAAGUUUCCAAGGGUGACAAUUCAUGGAAUUUAGGAAUUGCUGGGACUGAGUUGUUUCAUUUAAAGCUCCAAUAUUUGUUAAGAUUUUGCCACCUUCAUCUCUGCGACAGACUAUAUGAUGCAGAGAUGUGCACUGAAACCAAUUACGUGGAAUGGAAAAUUCUGCCUUUGAAGUUGGUCUAGUCACUGCAAAAUGUACCAAGUCUGUUCAAGUGCGUGGGCUUCCAGAGCAUAAGUAGCACAAACAUCAGAGGUUUUUUAAACCUGUUCUAUCUAGUUUAAUAGGUCAGAACUUAAAGUUUGAUUAAAUUUUGCAAUCCCCUGUUACCUGAUUUCUGUUCAGCCUAGACUAAUUACUUUCAGGACCUUGCUAAUUGGGAUGACUGGCAAAGACAAUUUGUCAUGUGGCUCAUUUUUCUUAAUAUUUUUCAAUAUUUAGUGCUCAAUGUUUAUAAAGUUAUAGUAAAUUAGAUUAGUAUUCACAAAUGUCAACAUGCAGUUCCCACAAUUUAGCAUUUCAAGGUCAUUGUUGACCCUCUAAUCUUCGAUAGACCAUCUGAGAUUACGGUACUAAACUCCAUAUGUAAUUAUAACUUGGCCACAGAAAAGUUUUUCUCCAUGGGGAUUCCAGGUAAAUUGUUCUUUCUUGGCAUUCUUUUUGCCCAUGAAAUGAGGAGAACUAAAGUAAUUCUUCUUUUAAAUUGAGAUGCCCCUUGAGGUGGCAACAUCUUAACAAUGUGGGCAUAGCAAUCAGUGGAGAAAAAUGACCAAUAAGAGAUGUUAGUCUGAAAAGUUUGGAAAACAUAUUUUUAUACAAGCCUACAACUGAAAUCAGAUCCCAAACUUCCCACGCGGUACCAGCUACAUGUCCCUCAAGUCAAGGGGGAUGGUGUGACCAUCCGUCACUCUUAAACAUCACAGUGUCCUAGGGCUCCAGAACGUGAGACCCAAAGCCUAAAUCUGUUGGGAUAUUUAUGCUACCUGCUCAAUGAUAGUCCUCCUGGAAAAGCAGGUAAUUGAUAAGUGAAUGAACCAGUGAGGAUACUCACAAACCUCAAACAUGGAUUUAAUAAAACCAAAUGACUUCUGAGGCUUUGCUUUCUGCCUGGUAAUUUACAUCCAGGAUCUCAUUUAAUCCUAACACUACUGUAAUACUACUUGCCCAAAGAGUCUAGUUCAGGCUAAAUCGUUAGGUGGAAGUUUGUGAAUGUGGCUGUGCACCUAUUUUUGCUCUCUAUUGCGUUCAGCCUUGAACACUCGGAGGCAGGCAGUAUACAGGCUCUGGUUCCUGGAGCCUGUAUUCCACUGUGGGGGCCUGGGGCAGUGGGGUGUGUGCAGAUUACAAAGCAACAUUGAUGGAAGUACACGGUGAGAAGUCCCUGGAUAAUGAGGUGUUCAAAUUGCUUUGUGAAUAGUGGGAGGCAUUCUGCGUGGGGUUUUAGGGGUAGUAGAAAGAUCUGGAAGGCUUCACAGAAGGUGACGGUUAAGUUGGACUUUAGAAGACUGAAAAGGAAUUUAUCAACAGAAAAGAUGGGGUAGCAUGGGUCAUUUUAGGGAGAUGUUCAACAACAUUUUGUGUGUCAGAAGUGAGGGGACUUCUGCCCUUACUCAGGGUGGUUGGCAUCAGAAUUGCAUUGCAAUGAUCAAGCUGAGAAAUAAAUAGGAGAUGAUUAUCAUAUAUAAGACAUUUUACUCCAUGAGGGAAACUGUAGAAAAUAAAGAUGCCAUUUUCAAGGUAGCUAAAAUCAGAAGAACUAAGAAGCAUAAUAUUGAUAAAAUCUUUUAACUUUAACCUGGAGUCAGUCGCUUGCUCAUCUUUGUUCAUAUUCAUUUGUGUGGUUCAUUGUCUAAGCAGUGCCCGUUGAAAGCCAUGCAGGCAUUUGCAGGCACUCCAGGUUUAUAAGUAGCUAAACCAUCAAAUAAAUGUGACUUCAUCCAGACAGAAAUACCAAGCCCACAAGAUGUAUUUGUCUGCCUUCUCUCAGCUUAAUGCCUAACUUGUUAAAAAUUGUGCAGCAAGAUGCUAGAUGUUAAAGACACUCCUUGGUUAUAUCAUAAAUGAUUUUAUUCAAUCAACCAUUCGACAUAUAUGUAUUGCCCAUCUACCAUGUGUCCAGCAAAGGACAAGCGAGAGUGAAAAGAAUGCAACACUUGGCCACAGAAGUUUCCUGAAGCUGUGUUUGCUAGCUCUGAGACCUUCAGCAAAGCAUUUGCCCUUUCCAUAAGAUGAGGAGAUUCUGUAAGAUAAGGAGAUCACAUUAUUGGGAUUAUCAAAGUCCUGUCCCAUUCUAAAUGCUACUGAUUCCUUGAGUCAGCCUGCAUUUCCUGGGAGACUGAAGCCUAAGCCCCUGUACUUCCCUGUGUGUUUGCCAACUCUCCUGUGAGUCUUCCCUCUUCUCCUUCUCAGCCCCCCCUUCUCGUCCAUAAAUCUGCAUACGAAAGGACCAGACAGCUGUAGCUCUCAACAGCUUUGGUUUUCCUCACCGCCUGUGUCAUCCUGCUUGCUGAAGCUGCUUUUUAAAGGGGCUAAGCCUCCUUUAAACAAUUCUAAAUAUUUUUGAAGUUCUGAACCAGAACAUAACGAGCUUACAAAGAGAUAAAACAGUAGAGUUUUUCUGCAGGUGGUUAAACUAACUAGAGGACUUCUCUGUGGGAGCCGUUCUAUGAUGCAGGCUGAUCACAGACGGACCAGAGCGACACUGGAGGAGGUAGGAUGAUGUUAGGCAGUAAGAGAGGCUGGGGAGGAUGGAGCAUCAUGAAAGGAAGUGGGAGAAAGGGAAAGAAGCCCACCUUAAGAGAGGACAUUCUGCAGGCAACCCGCUCUGCUAGAUGUGCUAUUUAUAUCUAUUUAAAUGUCCCUACACAUCCAAAAAAGAGUUCAUAGUUGUUGUAAGGAACUGAAAGGACAUCACUGCCAGAACAGCAGAGGCUACUGCGGGUCUUGCUAAACAUAAGUCGAAGGUAAAGAAAUAGACAUCCACACAGACACAUCCUGCCAUUCCCUAUUAUAAUUAUUUUCCUGCUAGCCUUCCUCCCACAGCCGAUCUUAAAUUACAUCACUGAUUUAGAGAUUAAUGAGUUGUUCUGCGGCAGCUCAGGUAAGCACACAGCACCAGACCUUUUUUUUUUUUUUUUUUUUUUUUUUUAAUACCAAGAGAAUAAACACAGCAAACUAUGGCAGUAUGGUAACUUUAUAUGAGAUUUCCAUUUCAAAGCCUAAAAACUCAUGGUCCAAGAAUGAGCAAUGUCUCUGACAUGACCUUGAGAAGCCAAAGCCAAAGACUCAUCCCUGCAACUUUUAUACCUCUGCUCCCCUCCAGCUGCUGUAAAUAAUAAGCAUUUUCCUUUGCAAUGGUAAAAUCAAAACACCUCCAAACACUGGCACUUUAAACUUUUGACUCCAAUAUAUUGUGAUGUCUGACCCCUUGUUGAUAUCCGAUUUUCACUUUUUUUUAGUCUUUUGGGUUUCAUUUUAUUAUAAUUCUCAAUGACCUACUUCCUAAAAGAGCAAGGCCAUGGCUGAAAAAAUGGUAUCCUUGGUUAAGAAAAGAAAACGCUGCAGAACUUUAUCAAAGGCAUAAUACUUAGAGCUUUUAAGACAGAUCCAAUUCAGACUCUGUUCACAGGAAAAUAAAAAACGUAGUUAGUCACGUCUGUGCUUCACUUGUAUGAUAACAGAUAUUUUAGAAUUUAGAUUCAUGUAAGUUACAGGCUUCAUGCUUGCUGUCAUCAUUUCAUUAAUCAACAUUCCAUGGAAAAAACCUCUGGGACAGUAGAAAAAGUAUAAUCCUUGGAAUCUAGAGGACUGGAUUUUAGUCCCAGCUCAUCUACUUGCUUUUGGAAUGGAUUAGCAAUGAGAUCCUACUGUGUAGCACUGAGAACUGUGUCUAGUCACUUAUGAUGGAGCAUGAUAAUGGGAGAAAAAAAGAAUGUAUAUGUGUAUGUGUAAUUGGGUCACCAUGCUGUACAGUAGAAAAAAAAUUGUAUUGGGGAAAUAACAAUAAAAACAUUUAAAAAAUAAAUAAAAAUAAAAGUCGUAUAGCACUGGGCAAAUGAAUUGACCUAUAGGGCCCUCAGCUUUCCUUAUCUGUUAAAAAAGAAGGUGGAGAAGGAAAGGGAAAAAAAGAAAGAACAGGAAGGAAAAAAUGAGACAAGGAAGCAAGGGAGGGAGAAAAGUAGACAGGAAUUCAGAAUACCUACAUCAUAGGAUGGAAGUGAGAGUUACAUAAUAUGUUUGAAAGCAGUAUAUAUGAAGCAAAAUGUUACAUAAAUACAGCAUGGUUUGUAAAAAUGAUACUUUAAAUACUGCUACAGUCCUCUGCAUAUUAAAAAAUAUAUAUAUCCAAGAAAUAAGCUAUGCUUUCUAGAAUACUUAACAACAGCAUCACCUUAAGAUAAACUGAAGAAUCUGCACCCCAGGACAAGUGCUAUUUGCUCUUGUUGAGUGGCAGUGUAGAUCUGGCUUUCUAGGACAUGCAGCUCAAACCCUCCAAAGAAUGUGUCUUUUUUCAUUAGCACCUUUCACAGAUUCCAGACUUCUAGCUUUGACUUUCCACCGGCUCUGUUUUUCCCUGCAGCCUGAAGCCCUACCCAGGUUAGAAUGCUAGCCAUCAGCCUAUACACACAGGACAGUCCUGUUGACAACAGCCCCUGAACUGAAAUAGUCCGUGGAGGAAGGGGGGGUAGUAGGGACCAUCUCACUGCACAAUAGGGCUGUUAGUUCUGGUUUGGUGUGCGGUAAAGAGACUACAAGUCAGGACAUGAAGUCUUGCAAUAAAGAGGAACUAAUGGAGGUAAUUAGGAAAGAACACCUGUCGGUGAGAAAUUGCAACCUCUAUGUUGGCCAUACCCAGCCAUCAGUCCCAAUUGUUCUUCACAACAAUGGAGAGCCUCUGGACUGUGAAUGCGAGCAAUGAUGGACGGCAAUAAAAUCCGCAAAUGAGUUUUCACAUUGUCUAAUAAAAUUCUAUGACUUUGUCAAUCUGUGUUGACACAGACCUACACAGGACUGGAUGAUAAAAGGUUGUAAUGGGAAACUAAUUGUCUCCUUGGGUUUACAUGUUUGUCUUUUAUUUCUAUGGUUCUAGAUACAAAUUCUGGCUUUCUUAUAGGUGACCGUGAGGAUGGGGGUCAAUUCUUGAGUCCCUAGCACUCAAAUAUCCUCUUGUCCAAACACUUCAAACCAAAUUAGAUGGGCAGCAAAAUAAAAGGCCCAACAUAUAGAUCUGAAUUUAGGGGUAUGUGGGAUCAGGACUGACUCUGAUAUGGCUCAGAACUGUAUAUUUUAGGUAAACCUAUAAAAAAAAAAAAAAAAGGUAGAUACAGUCAUGUUAAGUUGUAGAUUAGAGAUGGCUUUAUACCCGUUCUAAAGAUGCCACAGUGAAAAAGAAUGAGUAUUUUAUGGUCUAAAAUCAGGUUCAGAAGAUAGCAUUUUAAAAGUGUAGUCCAAUUCAUGUGUAACUUGGAAGGCAUAACCUGGAAAAGGGAAAAGGGGAAUGAAAUUGGAAAUCCACAAAAGAAAAUGGUUUUUAAUUCAUGUUGACUGGAUUUUUCAUGCUCAGAACAAAACACAGGUGAAACUAACAAAAUAAUUGUGGAGGGGAAGGUGGGAGGGAGGGGGGAAGGAAAUCAGUUUUUAUAUAUGAACACAAAUUCUAUGUGAUUUUAAAAAAAUGCUUACUACUCCACUCCCAUUUGCUAGAACAGGGACAGCAUAUAACAAAUGUUUAAUAAAUAUUUCUUGGAUAAACAAAAACUCAGAAGUCCCUGUCGUGGCUCAGCAG